UGCGCAGCGGUUACUUCGAGCACGCUUCUCCCAACGAAGUGUCUCGUUUCCCGGCUGCUGGUACGAACUUCGUUGUUUGCCAAGUUACGACUUCGUCGUGUUCACAGGUGCACCGGUGAUGUGAUCGAAUUAAGCAACGUCGCGCUGCAAGAGGUACAGGAACGUACAAAAGGAGGUUGACUUUCUGGCAUGCAUUGGACGAGCACCACUACCUUCUUCAGUUAUCCUCAUCAUGAAAUGCUUGUUGACCAAUGACCUUGCCUUAAAAUACAGCCUCAGGGGUCUGCAGAAGAAAAAGGCUUUCCAGGAAAUCUCCCUACGUGAAUGUGUUGUUGUGGAGGCAGCGAAACGGUGGUGCAGGUCUGCUACCGAAGGCGAAAUUGGACGACGCAUAGGAAAGUUAGCUGACCGGAAUGGCGCAAGGGGACGGACGAUUGAUAGUCAGAUACCGAGUACACACAUCUUGGAGGAGCACUGUCAGGCAUGCGUGCUGUUUUGUAAUAUUUUGUACCUGCAAUACGUUGACCUUUAUGUCUGUGAUGCUUUAAAACAUAGUAUUAAACAGUGAUACUGAUA